UGUAGCUCAGUGGUAGAGUACUUGCCUAGCAUGCAUGAGACCCUGGUUUCAAUUCCUAGCA
rnacentral:tRNA from 1 species